rnacentral:rRNA from 1 species
GCGAACGCUGGCGGCGUGCUUAACACAUGCAAGUCGAGCGGUAAGGCCCUUCGGGGUACACGAGCGGCGAACGGGUGAGUAACACGUGGGUGACCUGCCUCUAGCUCUGGGAUAAGCCUGGGAAACUGGGUCUAAUACCGGAUAUGACUCCACGGCGCAUGUUGUGGGGUGGAAAGCCUUGUGUGGCUAGAGAUGGGCCCGCGGCCUAUCAGCUUGUUGGUGGGGNGAUGGCCUACCAAGGCGACGACGGGUAGCCGGCCUGAGA